rnacentral:rRNA from 1 species
UGGGGAAUAUUGCACAAUGGGCGAAAGCCUGAUGCAGCGACGCCGCGUGAGGGAUGACGGCCUUCGGGUUGUAAACCUCUUUCAGUAGGGACGAAGCGCAAGUGACGGUACCUGCAGAAGAAGCACCGGCUAACUACGUGCCAGCAGCCGCGGUAAUACGUAGGGUGCGAGCGUUGUCCGGAAUUACUGGGCGUAAAGAGCUGGUAGGCGGUUUGUCACGUCGUCUGUGAAAUCCUAGGGCUUAACCCUGGACGUGCAGGCGAUACGGGCUGACUUGAGUACUACAGGGGAGACUGGAAUUUCUGGUGUAGCGGUGGAAUGCACAGAUAUCAGGAAGAACACCGAUGGCGAAGGCAGGUCUCUGGGUAGUAACUGACGCUGAGGAGCGAAAGCAUGGGUAGCGAACAGG